GAAAUGCGAUAAGUAAUGUGAAUUGCAGAAUUCAGUGAAUCAUCGAAUCUUUGAACGCACAUUGCGCCCGUUAGCAUUCUAGCGGGCAUGCCUGUCCGAGCGUCAUUUCAACCCUCAGGGCCCCCCGUUCCGGCGGGUGGACCUGGCGUUGGGGAUCGGCCCGCCCCGUGCGGCGCCGUCCCCCAAAUACAGUGGCGGUCCCGCCGCAGCCUCCCCUGCGUAGUAGUUUACAACCUCGCAUCGGAGCGCGGCGCGGCCACGCCGUAAAACCCCCGACUUUCUGAACGUUGACCUCGGAUCAGGUAGGAAUACCCGCUGAACUUAAGC
rnacentral:misc_RNA from 1 species